rnacentral:lncRNA from 1 species
UUCAUUUAUAUAAUCUCUGAUUUUGUCAACAUCAAGCUCAUCCUUGUUGCCUUCAGACACAAAGCUGUCAUUUUUGACUUUACUCUUCCUAGUCUUUCUUGUUUUCGGUGCGUCGUAAUACAGAAAAUCAUCUUUCUAAAAGGAUGUAGACUUCCUUCCUUCUUUAUGGAUUCUGUACCCAAUUGAGUCUUCCUCGGCUACAUCUUUAGCUACUUGGUUCAUACGGACUGGCAUCUUAUCAGCGGUCUUCGCAACACUCUGUAACAUGCAAGAGAGGUAUUAUAUUGACAGAGAACUUGAUUUGUAGCAUGCAAGAGAGGUAUUAUAUUUAUAGAAAACAACUGGACUUGCAAAUAAUUAAUUUCGUAUGUGAGCUUACCUCAGAUUUGUGGAAAAGGUUUGGGGAUUCAUCCUCGGCCUCUUUUACAUCUUUACUGGU